CCUACGGGGGGCUGCAGUGGGGAAUAUUGGACAAUGGGGGGAACCCUGAUCCAGCCAUGCCGCGUGUGUGAAGAAGGCCCUCGGGUGGUAAAGCACUUUCAGUGAGGAAGAACGCCUGGUGGUUAAUACCCAUCAGGAAAGACAUCACUCACAGAAGAAGCACCGGCUAACUCCGUGCCAGCAGCCGCGGUAAUACGGAGGGUGCGAGCGUUAAUCGGAAUUACUGGGCGUAAAGCGCGCGUAGGUGGCUUGAUAAGCCGGUUGUGAAAGCCCCGGGCUCAACCUGGGAACGGCAUCCGGAACUGUCAAGCUAGAGUGCAGGAGAGGAAGGUAGAACUCCCGGUGUAGCGGUGAAAUGCGUAGAGAUCGGGAGGAAUACCAGUGGCGAAGGCGGCCUUCUGGACUGACACUGACACUGAGGUGCGAAAGCGUGGGUAGCAAACAGGAUUAGAUACCCCAGUAGUC
rnacentral:rRNA from 1 species